AAAAAUAAACGUUAUUGUCAAACAUCUUAGUGGUAUUUAGAUUAAAUGUAAAAAUUUUAUGUUUACAUCUAAAAUAUUCAGAUGGAGUUUAAAAUUGAACAUACAUGGAACGGCUUUCCAGUGUCUCAUGAUCCUGUAACAAUCAGGCUGGCUCCUGCCAAUGCAGGAAUGUUCAUCAGUGUAACGGCUCCAUUUUAUAAUGAUCCUCCAGCUCCUCCCAGUGAUCCAGGAAAGCCAUUAAAUGGAUUGUGGGAUUAUGAGGUUGUAGAAGCUUUCUUCCUGAAUGGCCAGACUGAGCAGUAUUUAGAAGUGGAGCUCUGUCCGCAUGGGCAGUAUCUCAUUUUGUUGCUUUGUGGCAGAAGGAAAGUAUUAAAACAAGAGCUUCCUUUAAAAUUCGAUGUAUCAAGAACAAGUGCUCAGUGGAAUGGCAGAGUUCAUCUUCCUUGGAGCUAUCUUCCACCAGCUACUGACCAAUUUAAUGCUUUUGCAAUCCAUGGGUCAGGUGAAGCUAGAACGUAUGAAGCCCUCUAUCCUGUACCUCAACAUGAGCUGCAGAAGAUUCAGCAACCUGAUUUUCAUCGUCUAGAAUAUUUUAAAUGCUUGAACUUGAAAACAUUAAUGGGAGAAGGUUGGAAGCAGCCGGUAUCGGUUUUCUGGACACCAUCCAAACAGACCAGCUAGGUAAAAAGAUAGUCUUCAUAUAAAAGUAAAAUUUUGCAGAUCAAGGAUUUCUAUUGCAAGAAUGUUCAUGUUAACAGAAAGACUUAAAAGGUUGCCAAAAGAAGUGAAGGAACUUUUACAGCUCUGCCCACUACAUGUCCCUCUCUGGGCCUGGAAUUCUUCAUUUCCAGGAGCAGAAAGAUGGAUGCUCCUCAGCCUUCCAGCAUAGCCACCACAUCUGUCUAGCCUGUGAACCAGACUUGACAUCAUUCCAGCCUGCCUGGGGCCCAGAAGGAACUGGAUUUUUAUCCCUUAUGUGCAAGAAAGACCAUUCCAAUUCAAAUGGAUAUUGCUGUGUCAUAUUAAUAUUCUAGGGUUACAUUGCAAUAUCACAUUCCAGGGGUGCAUGGCUUGGGACUCAGUACAGGGGUGUCUUUCUGGAUAUCAUGUUUUGGUAUGGAUUAAAAAUAAUGCAUGUGCAGUGUUUUGAACAAUGAAAGUACUAGAUAAAAUCAUUAUUAAUAAUAUAAUCAGGUGACUUCAAAUCCAUUGUAGCUGUUGACCAUUGGAUUUUAAAUAUCAAGUGCUCUAGUUCUUUAAAUUGUACUGUCUAGCUGGUAAGUUUUACUGACAUCCAGUUAACUAGCUGAACAAUGUUUUUUUUCCAUCACCUGCUAUUAUGUUUCUUCUUACACCUACAGUAAACAGAUGCUUUUCCUCUUUAGAAAUUCAAGACCUGGAGAUGGUCACAACUGUAGACCAUCUAUUCAUUAGGGACAAAAAAUAGUUUGAUUUUUCUAUAAAAUCUCAUUUAAUUAGAAAAUAAUAUUGUGAACAUAUAAUUACUUUAGCAUGAAGUUAAUUAUUGAACUGUUAAUAUUUUGUAAGCAAAGAAUAAUCUGUUGUCUGUUCACUGAAUGUAUCAAACAGGUUUUCUUUUCUCACAUUAAACUGAUCUUGCUUUACUGCAAAGGAAUAAUAAAUACAAAAGUAUUGAUUCA